GACGAACGCUGGCGGCGUGCCUAAUACAUGCAAGUCGAGCGGACCGAACAGGAGCUUGCUCUUGUUCGGUUAGCGGCGGACGGGUGAGUAACACGUGGGUAACCUGCCCGUAAGACCGGGAUAACUCCGGGAAACCGGAGCUAAUACCGGAUAACACCGAAGACCGCAUGGUCUUUGGUUGAAAGGCGGCUUCGGCUGCCACUUACGGAUGGGCCCGCGGCGCAUUAGCUAGUUGGUGAGGUAACGGCUCACCAAGGCGACGAUGCGUAGCCGGCCUGAGAGGGUGACCGGCCACACUGGGACUGCGACACGGCCCAGACUCCUACGGGAGGCAGCAGUAGGGAAUCUUCCGCAAUGGACGAAAGUCUGACGGAGCGACGCCGCGUGAGCGAAGAAGGUCUUCGGAUCGUAAAGCUCUGUUGUUAGGGAAGAAGAAGCGUCGUUCGAACAGGGCGGCGCGGUGACGGUACCUAACGAGAAAGCCCCGGCUAACUACGUG
rnacentral:rRNA from 1 species